rnacentral:rRNA from 1 species
UACGUAGGGGGCAAGCGUUGUCCGGAAUCAUUGGGCGUAAAGAGCGUGUAGGCGGCUCGGUAAGUCCGCUCUGAAAGCCCGGGGCUCAACCCCGGGAGGCGGGCGGAUACUGUCGGGCUAGAGUCCGGAAGAGGCGAGUGGAAUUCCUGGUGUAGCGGUGAAAUGCGCAGAUAUCGGGAGGAACACCUGUGGCGAAAGCGGCGCACUGGACCACAACUGACGCUGAGGCGCGAAAGCUAGGGGAGCAAACAGG